rnacentral:rRNA from 1 species
GGUUUUGCAGUGGGUACGGGCUAACUAGAGUGCAGUAGGGGAGACUGGAAUUCCUGGUGUAGCGGUGGAAUGCGCAGAUAUCAGGAGGAACACCGAUGGCGAAGGCAGGUNUCUGGGCUGUAACUGACGCUGAGAAGCGAAAGCAUGGGGAGCGAACAGGAUUAGAUACCCUGGUAGUCCAUGCCGUAAACGUUGGGCACUAGGUGUGGGGGACAUUCCACGUUUUCCGCGCCGUAGCUAACGCAUUAAGUGCCCCGCCUGGGGAGUACGGCCGCAAGGCUAAAACUCAAAGAAAUUGACGGGGGCCCGCACAAGCGGCGGAGCAAGCGGAUUAAUUCGAUGCAACGCGAAGAACCUUACCAAGGCUUGACAUAUACUGGACUGCGUCAGAGAUGGCGUUUCCCUUCGGGGCUGGUAUACAGGUGGUGCAUGGUUGUCGUCAGCUCGUGUCGUGAGAUGUUGGGUUAAGUCCCGCAACGAGCGCAACCCUCGUUCUAUGUUGCCAGCACGUGAUGGUGGGGACUCAUAGGAGACUGCCGGGGUCAACUCGGAGGAAGGUGGGGAUGACGUCAAAUCAUCAUGCCCCUUAUGUCUUGGGCUUCACGCAUGCUACAAUGGCCGGUACAGAGGGUUGCGAUACUGUGAGGUGGAGCUAAUCCCUAAAAGCCGGUCUCAGUUCGGAUUGGGGUCUGCAACUCGACCCCAUGAAGUCGGAGUCGCUAGUAAUCGCAGAUCAGCAACGCUGCGGUGAAUACGUUCCCGGGCCUUGUACACACCGCCCGUCAAGUCACGAAAGUUGGUAACACCCGAAGCCGG